AAAAUUUUAGUUUAAAGAAAAUUUUUCUUUUACACUGAAAAGAUUAAAAUCAUAUUUUAAAAUUUUA
rnacentral:tRNA from 1 species